GACGAACGCUGGCGGCGUGCUUAACACAUGCAAGUCGAACGGAAAGGCUCCAGCUUGCUGGAGUACUCGAGUGGCGAACGGGUGAGUAACACGUGGGUAAUCUGCCCUGCACUCUGGGAUAAGCCUGGGAAACUGGGUCUAAUACUGGAUAUGACCUUUCUCCUUAUGGGGUUUGGUGGAAAGUUUUUCGGUGUAGGAUGAGCCCGCGGCCUAUCAGCUUGUUGGUGGGGUGAUGGCCUACCAAGGCGACGACGGGUAGCCGACCUGAGAGGGUGAUCGGCCACAUUGGGACUGGGAUACGGCCCAGACUCCUACGGGAGGCAGCAGUGGGGAAUAUUGCACAAUGGGCGGAAGCCUGAUGCAGCGACGCCGCGUGAGGGAUGACGGCCUUCGGGUUGUAAACCUCUUUCAGCAGGGACGAAGCGUAAGUGACGGUACCUGCAGAAGAAGCACCGGCUAACUAUGUG
rnacentral:rRNA from 1 species